rnacentral:rRNA from 1 species
GCUAAACGCGAAGAACCUUACCCACACUUGACAUACCUCUUGGGACUUUCAGAGAUGAUUGUCUUCGGUUCGGCCGGGGAGGGAGUACAGGUGGCUGCAUGGCGUGUCGUCAGCUCGUGUCGUGAGAUGUUUGGUUAAGUACCACGCAACGAGCGCAACCCUCCAUCGUCUGUUGCCACUCAUUUAGUUGGGAACUCUGACGAGACUGCCGGUGAUAAGCCGGAGGAAGGCGGGCGACGUCAAGUCAUCAUGGCCCUUACGUGUGGGGCCGACAAACGUGCUACAACGGCGGUGACAGUGCGCAGCUAAAUCGCAAGAUUAAGCUAAUCGCAAAAAACCGUACUCAGUUCAGAUUGUCCUCUGCAACUCGAGGGCAUGAAGUUGGAAUCGCUAGUAAUCGGCCAUCAGCAUGGGCCGGUGAAUACGUUCCC